rnacentral:rRNA from 1 species
ACGCACGCUGGCGGCAUGCCUAACACAUGCAAGUCGCACAAGACCUUCGGGUCUAGUGGCGCACGGGUGCGUAACGCGUGGGAACCUGCCCUUAGGUUCGGAAUAACUCCCCGAAAGGGGUGCUAAUACCGGAUAAUGUCUUCGGACCAAAGAUUUAUCGCCUUUGGAUGGGCCCGCGUUGGAUUAGCUAGUUGGUAGGGUAAAAGCCUACCAAGGCGACGAUCCAUAGCUGGUCUGAGAGGAUGAUCAGCCACACUGGGACUGAGACACGGCCCAGACUCCUACGGGAGGCAGCAGUGGGGAAUAUUGGACAAUGGGCGAAAGCCUGAUCCAGCAAUGCCGCGUGAGUGAUGAAGGCCUUAGGGUUGUAAAGCUCUUUUACCCGGGAUGAUAAUGACAGUACCGGGAGAAUAAGCUCCGGCUAACUCCGUG